CAAUAGCGUAUAUUAAAGUUGUUGCAGUUAGAAAGCUCGUAGUUGGAUUUGUGGCGUACGGUGUGUUCCGGGCACUUGUUGUCUGAGUAACCUGCUGUUGCCGUCCUUGGGUGGAACCUGUGUGGCAUUAGGUUGACGUGCAGGGGAUGCCCAUCAUUUACUGUGAAAAAAUUAGAGUGUUCAAAGCAGGCUUAUGCCGUUGAAUAUAUUAGCAUGGAAUAAUGAGAUAGGACUUUUUUGCUAUUUUGUUGGUUUGCGCAAAGAGGUAAUGAUUAAUAGGGACAGUUGGGGGUAUUCGUAUUCCAUUGUCAGAGGUGAAAUUCUUGGAUUUUUGGAAGACGAACUACUGCGAAAGCAUUUACCAAGGAUGUUUUCAUUAA
rnacentral:rRNA from 1 species